GACGAACGCUGGCGGCGUGCUUAACACAUGCAAGUCGAACGAUGAAGCCGGAGCUUGCUCUGGUGAAUUAGUGGCGAACGGGUGAGUAACACGUGAGUAACCUGCCCUUGACUCUGGGAUAACUGCUAGAAAUGGUAGCUAAUACCGGAUACGACCCUCGGCGGCAUCGCCAGGGGGUGGAAAGAAUUUCGGUCAAGGAUGGACUCGCGGCCUAUCAGCUAGUUGGUGAGGUAACGGCUCACCAAGGCGACGACAGGUAGCCGGCCUGAGAGGGUGACCGGCCACACUGGGACUGAGAUACGGCCCAGACUCCUACGGGAGGCAGCAGUGGGGAAUAUUGCACAAUGGGCGCAAGCCUGAUGCAGCAACGCCGCGUGAGGGAUGACGGCCUUCGGGUUGUAAACCUCUUUUAGUAGGGAAGAAGCGAAAGUGACGGUACCUGCAGAAAAAGCACCGGCUAACUACGUGCCAGCCGCCGCCGUAA
rnacentral:rRNA from 1 species